GCCCGGGUGGUGAAAUUGGUAGACGCAGGGGACUCCAAAAUCCCCCGCCGCAAGGCGUGCCGGUUCGAUUCCGGCCCCGGGCACCA
rnacentral:tRNA from 1 species